rnacentral:rRNA from 1 species
CGCCUGUUUAUUAAAAACAUGGUUUUUAUAUUUUUUUUAAAAUUUAACCUGCCCAUUGAUUUUUAUAUUGAAAGGCCGCAGUAUUUUGACUGUGCUAAGGUAGCAUAAUCAUUAGGUUUUUAAUUGAAAUCUGGAAUGAAUGGUUUGAUGAGAUAUAGACUUUUUUAUUUUAAAUAAUUGAAUUUUAAAUUUUAGUUAAAAUGCUAAUAUUGUUAAAUGGGACGAGAAGACCCUAUAGAAUUUUAUAAUUAUUAUAUAAUUUAAAAGUUUUAUAUUAAAUUUUAUUAUUAUAUAUUAUUUAUUUUAUUGGGGAGAUAUUUAAAUUUAUAAAACUUUAAAAUUAAUUAUUUCAUAAAUUAAUGUUUAUUUGAUCUUUUUUUAUUGAUUAUUAUUUUAAAUUACCUUAGGGAUAACAGCAUAAUAUUUUUAAGAAGUUCUUAUUUUUAAAAAAAAUUAUGACCUCGAUGUUGGAU